AUGAGUGGUCGCGAGCGCAGUAGAAACCGAACCUGGUCGUUGGAUUCGGACCUUGACUCGCGUGCGUCCCAGACAGUGGGCAGUUCGUCGGGGGGUCUUGAGGAGGACAAGGAGGUCGCCUUGCAAGCUGUACUGUUCUUCAUCAAUGGUUCCAGGAGAGGUGCAGUGCACCUGUGCUCGAGUAUAGCCGAGAUACUGCGCGAGAAUCAACGUCUGCACAGGACCGUAGAGGUCCAAAGGGCCCGAAUAGAGGAGCUGAUGUGCUCUCUGUCCACUGCUCCGGCUGCUCCUGUGGGUCCCUCAGAUUCCAACAGAUCCCAGACCAACUCCACCUCUCCCUUCUCCUGCCUCCCCUCUGUCUCUCUCGCCGCCUCCUCCCCCUACCUCCCCUCUCCCCCAGCCAGUGUCUCCCCCAGUGUGUCCUCCUUAUACAGUUCUGGGAGGGGCAGCCUGUGCUCUAACACCACACCCCCCUGCCUCCCCCCUCUAUCCUUUAGCACCACACCCCCCUGCCUCCCUCCUCUGGUCCCCCUUCACAACCUCACCCCUCAGAGGAGACAGACAGCAGUUCUGCCCUGUGUGAAAGAGUGUGAGAAGGAGGAUCCGGGAGAAAAGGAGAGGAGAGGAAAGGAAGGCAGGAGAGGAGAUGAGAGGGUGAAGAAGAGAGGGGGAGAAAGGAGACAAGAAGACAGCAGUCUUACUCCACCCUCUGUAGAAGAAGCUCUGGGAUCACAACCCUUACCCAUCAUGCCUCACUCCUCCCAUAGUGACAGCAUUCCCAGAGAAAGAGUCAGGAGGAGGGAGAAGGGCAACCUGUCGUCUGAGCAGGGUGCACAGACAUCGGACCGAAAACACACGCUGAAGGCUGGACCUCAUUAUCAUACUUCACAAUGGACACAUGAGGAUGUCACAGCCUUUAUGAUGAGCUGUUUUUGUGGUAGUUUGUUUUUGGUCAUUGAUAUUGUUGUUGUUUGUGAGCAGAAAAGAGAGAAUGUCCUAAGGAGAAGUGCCUCAUGUGGACCUCUGAGGGGAGAGAUGGAGGAGACAAAAAAGGAGGAGAGGUGGUGUCUGGCCCCAGACUAUCCUGACUCCUCGUCCACAGUCCAAGCAGCAGGAGGGCUGGAACCCAGGGCAUUAACCACCAGGAAGAAGCACCGCCUGUGUGUGAAUGACCGUGUAGUGCUGGAGGGGAGGAUGAGAGGAGAGGAGAGGAGAAGAGGAGCUGUGAGGUUCAUCGGACCACUGGAAAACACUGAGUCUACAGACAUCUAUAUAGGAGUGGAAUUGGACACAGCCAGUGGAGAAAAUGAAGGCAGUCUCCAUGGUAACAGGUACUUCAGGUGUAAGCCCAACCAUGGAACAUUCACCACCAUCACGGGGAUCAGAAAGCUCUCUCGAUCAUCAAUCUCCAAGUCUAGAAGCUCCAAACCUCCAGAGGAGGGUGACUCUAGUGACUCUGGGGCAGGGAGCUAUGCAGUGGCAAUAGGGAGGAGCAGCCAGAGCGUUGGGAGUAGGAGCAGGAACGGGCUCAGAAGGACCUGGAACCAGAUGGACAUUAGAGCCCAGGUCCAUUCAGAGCCAGGAGGACCCAGAGACAAGACUACUGUGGAGAACCCUGGACUGGACUGA
ensembl:lncRNA